rnacentral:rRNA from 1 species
UACGUAGGGUGCAAGCGUUGUCCGGAAUUAUUGGGCGUAAAGAGCUUGUAGGCGGUUUGUCGCGUCUGCUGUGAAAUUUCGGGGCUCAACCUCGAACUUGCAGUGGGUACGGGCAGACUAGAGUGUGGUAGGGGAGACUGGAAUUCCUGGUGUAGCGGUGAAAUGCGCAGAUAUCAGGAGGAACACCGAUGGCGAAGGCAGGUCUCUGGGCCAUAACUGACGCUGAGGAGCGAAAGCAUGGGGAGCGAACAGG